GUAUCGCUAGAAUAGUGGUUUGAGGUUCCGUUAUAUACAGGAGGAUAUCAUUUGCGUACAAAGAUAUUUUAUUUGUAGUCUCUUUGGUGUCAUAUCCAUGAAUACGGGGAUCUAAUCUAAUACUCUGAGCAAGAGGUUCUAUAGCAAGGGCAAAUAUUACUGCUGAUAGGGGGCAGUCAUCUAGGGAACAAGCAGUCAUCUUGUUCCCCUGAACAAAUUAAAAGGAGAUGAGAAUGUUUGGUUUGUGAGAGUUCGUGCUGUCGGAUUUUUAUACAGAAGCGUAAUCCAUUCCAAAAUUUUCUGAUCUUGUGACUCCAUGUUUCGGGAUACUUCAUUGGACCAUUCUCCAUCCAAAUUUUACACCUUCUGAAAUGUCAGAUUAAUUCAAUGUUAUGGUGUUCUAGAUUAGCACAACUCUAGCAUUGUUUAUUCUACUAUAGUCUUGACAACUUUGUCAUGAUAGUUCACUAAAUGGAACCUUUAAUACCUCAUUUAUUUAUUUUUCAGAAUCUGGGUAUCACUGGCAAGACCAGCGUUUAUUGUCUGUCCCUAUUUGAAAUGAAAAGGUAGAGGUCAGACAUCACCUUGAACCAAUCUUGGAAUGAAGAUGAAGCGUGUGACAAGCACAAAGAUUUACCAUCAAAGACCCAGACUCUUCCAAAGUAAUAGAACAUUGUGCCCACUUUGCAAUAAAGCUCAUUAUAAAUCAUUUGCCUCUUACCAAAGGACUACUCUUGAAGGGAAGGUGAGUGAAAUAAGGACAUGCUGAUUACAUCCUUUAGCCUUGAAGUGUGGCUCUCCAGUGUGAAAUCAAUGCAUUGCUCUAAUUUUGAAUAUUUUU